rnacentral:rRNA from 1 species
AUACCUAAACGUUGCUUCGGCGGGAACAGACGGCCCUGUAACAACGGGCCGCCCCCGCCAGAGGACCCCUAACUCUGUUUUUAUAAUGUUUUUCUGAGUAAACAAGCAAAUAAAUUAAAACUUUCAACAACGGAUCUCUUGGCUCUGGCAUCGAUGAAGAACGCAGCGAAAUGCGAUAAGUAAUGUGAAUUGCAGAAUUCAGUGAAUCAUCGAAUCUUUGAACGCACAUUGCGCCCGCCAGUAUUCUGGCGGGCAUGCCUGUUCGAGCGUCAUUACAACCCUCAGGCCCCCGGGCCUGGCGUUGGGGAUCGGCAGAAGCCCCCUGUGGGCACACGCCGUCCCUCAAAUACAGUGGCGGUCCCGCCGCAGCUUCCAUUGCGUAGUAGCUAACACCUCGCAACUGGAGAGCGGCGCGGCCAUGCCGUAAAACACCCAACUUCUGAAUGUUGACCUCGAAUCAGGUAGGAAUACCCGCUGAACUUAAGCAUAUCAAUAAGCGGAGGAAU